rnacentral:rRNA from 1 species
CACUCCUGCGGGAGGCAGCAGUGGGGAAUAUUGGACAAUGGGCGCAAGCCUGAUCCAGCCAUGCCGCGUGAGUGAUGAAGGCCCUAGGGUUGUAAAGCUCUUUCACCGGUGAAGAUAAUGACGGUAACCGGAGAAGAAGCCCCGGCUAACUUCGUGCCAGCAGCCGAGGUAAUACGAAGGGGGCUAGCGUUGUUCGGAUUUACUGGGCGUAAAGCGCACGUAGGCGGACUAUUAAGUCAGGGGUGAAAUCCCGGGGCUCAACCCCGGAACUGCCUUUGAUACUGGUAGUCUUGAGUUCGAGAGAGGUGAGUGGAAUUCCGAGUGUAGAGGUGAAAUUCGUAGAUAUUCGGAGGAACACCAGUGGCGAAGGCGGCUCACUGGCUCGAUACUGACGCUGAGGUGCGAAAGCGUGGGGAGCAAACAGGAUUAGAUACCCCUGUAGUCCC